AACGAACGCUGGCGGCAGGCUUAACACAUGCAAGUCGAGCGCCCCUCCUUCAAGCAAGCUUGAAGGAAUUUUUCCUUGAAAAGAGAAGAUCAGAAAGCUUCUAAAGAAGCUUUCUUGAUGGAGGGGAGCGGCAGACGGGUGAGUAACGCGUGGGAAUCUACCCAUCCCUACGGAACAACUCCGGGAAACUGGAGCUAAUACCGUAUACGCCCUUUUGGGGAAAGAUUUAUCGGGGAUGGAUGAGCCCGCGUUGGAUUAGCUAGUUGGUGGGGUAAGAGCCUACCAAGGCGACGAUCCAUAGCUGGUCUGAGAGGAUGAUCAGCCACAUUGGGACUGAGACACGGCCCAAACUCCUACGGGAGGCAGCAGUGGGGAAUAUUGGACAAUGGGCGCAAGCCUGAUCCAGCCAUGCCGCGUGAGUGAUGAAGGCCCUAGGGUUGUAAAGCUCUUUCGUCGAGUGCGCGAUCAUGACAGGACUCGAGGAAGAAGCCCCGGCUAACUCCGUGCCAGCAGCCGCGGUAAGAC
rnacentral:rRNA from 1 species